UACGUAGGGGGCAAGCGUUGUCCGGAAUCAUUGGGCGUAAAGCGCGUGUAGGCGGCUCGGUAAGUCUGCUCUGAAAGCCCGGGGCUCAACCCUGGGAGGCGGGUGGAUACUGCUGAGCUCGAGUCCGGAAGAGGCGAGUGGAAUUCCUGGUGUAGCGGUGAAAUGCGCAGAUAUCAGGAGGAACACCAAUGGCGAAGGCAGCUCGCUGGGACGGUACUGACGCUGAGACGCGAAAGCCAGGGGAGCAAACGGG
rnacentral:rRNA from 1 species